AUUGAACGCUGGCGGCAGGCCUAACACAUGCACGUCGAGCGAGAGGCGGACGGGUGAGUAAUGUAUGGGGCUCUGCCCGAUAGAGGGGGAUAACUACUGGGAACGGUGGCUCAUACCGCCUACUAUCGGAUGAGCCGAUAUGGGAUUAGCUAGGAGGUGGGGUAAAGGCUCACCUGGGUGACGAGCUCUAGCUGGUCUGAGAGGAUGAUCAGCCACACUGGGACUGAGACAAGGCCCAGACUCCUACGGGAGGCAGCAGUGGGGAAUAGUGCACAAUGGGCGCAAGCCUGAUGCAGCCAUGCCGCGUGUAUGAAGAAGGCCUUAGGGUUGUAAAGUACUUUCAGCGGGGAGGCGUUACCCGCAGAAGAAGCACCGGCUAACUCCGUGCCAGCAGCCGCGGUAAUAC
rnacentral:rRNA from 1 species